rnacentral:rRNA from 1 species
AUGUUUUCACAUGAACUCACGCCCAUGUUGGUAAUCUUCAAAAGGUGCACCUUUAUUAUUGAGGGGAUUUCACGUCGAACGAGGGGUUUCAGUCAAAAUAUCGAGGGAUACUUACGGGGACCAGGUUCCUGGAGGGCGACACAGGGGGGAACAGCAGUUCGCGGAAUAGCGACUAGUCCGUGCCGUCCAACAGGGUUGGUUCACCAGCGCGCGUGCCUCCAUGAGGUGCGCCAUCAGUACAUCCGGGUGCAGCCGUGGUCUCUAGCGGAGCUAUUGUGUGCUUCUCCACCCCGCAAGUCAACGCCCACUCGUCCACCUCGUAGGCCCAAGCCUCUUCAGUCGUUGUUGCUCUUCCUGCAGCCAUGUGACAUCGGCCACAAUCUUUGGCUGGGGUACUAUCUGCUUGCUCGUCCACCCCGCAUGUCCAAGCCCAUGACUGACGUCCUGAUCCUUCUGCCGCCUGUCCCGAUCCGGCUGCCGCCGUGCCUGAUCGGCCCGCUCGGUCGUCCUUUGCCAGGCCCGCCUGUCCAUUCCAUGCCUGGCUUUCUGGCAGUUCCACACCUGGCCGUUUGGCCGUUCCAUGCUUGGCCGCCAGGAUCCAUCGCUGCUUGCUCUAAUCUGGCCCGCCUCGGUUGCCUCCUGGAGCAUCCGACACUUCUUUCAGGGCUUCAUGGAGGGCAGCAGGAAUGGCUCCUCCCAUGGCAAGAGCUCUCGUCAAUGAGCAACCAUGAUGGCUAUUUCGAGCCUGCUCUAGUAUUGACGCAUGGCAGCAUAUUAGGUGUGUUGGGAGGCAUGGGCAGGCCAUCGACGGCCCCUCACUGUUUGGGCAUGCUCGCACCCACUUGCUGCUUUACUGUUGUCACAUGCUCCGGCCGGAAUAGCUAUCCGUUAUAUAAAUUUGGUAACUACGGGUAUAUAAAUCCGGUAAGUCCAGCAGCAUUUAGACCACGUGUAAAUGCAACCUCAGUAUAUAGCUCACUAGUGGAGAAUGGCCGCCCUGUACUACAAGGGCUUCUGGCUGUUGAUAUAAUUGCCAAAGAGGUUCUUGGUUGGGUUCAAUUGAUGCCGGUCUAUGCUGCUGAGCUUGUCGAGACGAACAAACAGGAACUUGGGUGUCCCUCGUGUCCUCAUUGUUGCUGCCUGAUGUGGCACCUCUGUUGCUGCUGCAACUCUGCUAUCAUCGCAAUUAAUUGCAGACGAGAUGGGAGUAGGCAGUCAACCAGGAGCAGCCUGGACGUGCUGUUGGGAGGAGAUGGGAGGGACUGCAGCCAGCAUGGAGCAGCAUCGAGAUGGCACUGGAAAAGAUGGGAGCAGGCAGCAGCAGUAAAGUAG